rnacentral:rRNA from 1 species
UGGGGAAUAUUGCACAAUGGAGGGAACUCUGAUGCAGCGACGCCGCGUGAACGAAGAAGGCUUUCGAGUCGUAAAGUUCUUUUAUAUGGGAAGAUAAUGACGGUACCAUAAGAAAAAGCCCCGGCUAACUACGUGCCAGCAGCCGCGGUAAUACGUAGGGGGCUAGCGUUGUCCGGAAUCACUGGGCGUAAAGGGUACGUAGGUGGUUUUUUAAGUCAGGUGUCAAAGCGUGGAGCUUAACUCCAUUAAGCACUUGAAACUGAAAGACUUGAGUGAAGGAGAGGAAAGUGGAAUUCCUAGUGUAGCGGUGAAAUGCGUAGAUAUUAGGAGGAAUACCGGUGGCGAAGGCGACUUUCUGGACUUUUACUGACGCUCAGGUACGAAAGCGUGGGGAGCAAACAGG